GGCUGCAUAGUUCAGUGGUAGAACGCCAGUCUCAUGAGCUGGAGGUCCUGAGUUCAACUCUCAGUGCAGCCA
rnacentral:tRNA from 1 species